GUGCUCGCUUCGGCAGCACAUAUACUAAAAUUGGAACGAUACAGAGAAGAUUCGCAUGGCCACACGCAAAUUUGUGAAGCGUUUCUUUUUUUC
rnacentral:snRNA from 1 species